GCUCAGGACGAACGCUGGCGGCGUGCCUAAUACAUGCAAGUCGAGCGGACAGAAGGGAGCUUGCUCCCGGAUGUUAGCGGCGGACGGGUGAGUAACACGUGGGUAACCUGCCUGUAAGACUGGGAUAACUCCGGGAAACCGGAGCUAAUACCGGAUAGUUCCUUGAACCGCAUGGUUCAAGGAUGAAAGACGGUUUCGGCUGUCACUUACAGAUGGACCCGCGGCGCAUUAGCUAGUUGGUGGGGUAAUGGCUCACCAAGGCGACGAUGCGUAGCCGACCUGAGAGGGUGAUCGGCCACACUGGGACUGAGACACGGCCCAGACUCCUACGGGAGGCAGCAGUAGGGAAUCUUCCGCAAUGGACGAAAGUCUGACGGAGCAACGCCGCGUGAGUGAUGAAGGUUUUCGGAUCGUAAAGCUCUGUUGUUAGGGAAGAACAAGUGCGAGAGUAACUGCUCGCACCUUGACGGUACCUAACCAGAAAGCCACGGCUAACUACGUGCCAGCAGCCGCGGUAAUACGUAGGUGGCAAGCGUUGUCCGGAAUUAUUGGGCGUAAAGGGCUCGCAGGCGGUUUCUUAAGUCUGAUGUGAAAGCCCCCGGCUCAACCGGGGAGGGUCAUUGGAAACUGGGAAACUUGAGUGCAGAAGAGGAGAGUGGAAUUCCACGUGUAGCGGUGAAAUGCGUAGAGAUGUGGAGGAACACCAGUGGCGAAGGCGACUCUCUGGUCUGUAACUGACGCUGAGGAGCGAAAGCGUGGGGAGCGAACAGGAUUAGAUACCCUGGUAGUCCACGCCGUAAACGAUGAGUGCUAAGUGUUAGGGGGUUUCCGCCCCUUAGUGCUGCAGCUAACGCAUUAAGCAC
rnacentral:rRNA from 1 species